CCCAAUCCCAAUUCUACCCCUUACCCCUUCCCCUUCCCCUUUGUCUCGCGCGUUCACGUGAAGGGGUAGGGGUGUCCCAAUUCUCAUUUGGUUGGAGGGGAAGGGGUAGGGGGAAGGGCCAGGUAGCCCUUCAAACGAAGAUUUUUCGGGACCACACUUCAGACGAAGGGGUAUGAGAAAUUUCCAACAUGGCCGACCGAGCGAGCAGAGAGACCCAUAAAUGUGUGGGUGAUGAUUGCUGAGUGGUAGAGUGAGUGCAGGUGUGGGCCAGGGAGGAUCAUGGGAAAUGGAGUCCAAAGCAGACGGGAACUGUGACAGUAACAUUCCUCUAUCAGCAGUUACAGCUACAACCAGCAGAACAACAACAACAGCAACAACUAUUCCUGCUACAACACCUGAAGACAGACCUGAACCUGGAACAGCUGAAGACAGACAGUCAUUAUUACUAGAGAGUGAAUGAUUAUACA